UAAUAAUUGGUCUACGUUUUCUGCCCUGCAGUUCAUCAUCAUUCCACUAGGAGCAGUACAAAGGUUUUUCCUGCUGAUUUCAAGAUGGCGGCCUCCGUGAAAUCUCAAAAAGACUUUUGGCUUUGAAUGAACCUACUGGAAUGGACGCUGCUGUCAUGCCGGCAGCGACCCCCGUUAGGAAACGGCCCAAAUGUAGCAUCCAUAAGUCUACAGCUCCUGCUAGCAGCAUGUACCUGCAACACACAGAACAUCAUGCAAAACACACUAGUAACAUCUCAUCUUCAAGGAGCAGAUGGAUGACGAUUUUAGCAAAAAUUACCUCCAUGC